GCUGCGCAGUGGGAGUUGUAGCCAUGGGAACAACCUAGGGACCUGGCAAGGAAAGACUAGGCCAGACCUUAGCACCCCCUGUCAGGGACUUCCUGCUGGUUAAUCCUGCUUCCUCUGCCAGCAGGAAGUCAGCUAGCAAAGAAGCCCCAAUGAUAUAGUCUACAGCAGGCAGCCUGCCAGGGUGCAGAGCAGGGUAGAAAAUGGAUCGGAAGGGCAAAGGUGAGGUAGAGUUGGGAGACUUACCUGAGGUCACAUAGUCAGCUUCACCUGAUUGUCAGGAAAGUAACCCUGUGAACCCUAGCUGGGGAGAAGAACCUAAAGGCAAGAGAGAGAACCGUUCUAUAGGACCCGGGAGGAUUUGCCAUCAUCUGAAGGAAGACUGAAUCUUGUCUGCUCUGGGGAGGCACGGAGGAGCCUGUGACUUGUGAGUUCCAGUAAUCAUUGUACAUCUCUGCUUCUGCCUUUGCCAAUGAGCCUGAUUUUAGGCAGAGAAAGAAGAUUCUGCCUAACAAAGUAGAGACAGGUAUCCUGGAGUUCAUGAAAGACGUGUAGCUGAUUCAGAGCCAUGUGAAGAAGGACAUGCUUGCUUCUUCUUCCACCAUCAUUGCAAGUUUCCUGAGGCCUCCCCAGCCCUGCAGAACCAUGAGUAAAUUAAACUUCUUUCCUUUAUAAAUUACCCAGUCUCGAGUAUGUCUUUGUCAGCAGCUGAAAAUGGACUAAUACACCUAGUCCAUGAGGAAUCAAUGCUUGCUGAUGAUGGGAGAGUCUUCCCAUUACGCCUGAAGCCAGCCUUGAUGACAGUUUAAUACAGU
rnacentral:lncRNA from 1 species